GAUCGUUUUUCGACGAUGCAUUGGAUCGAGGCAGGACAGAAGCUCCAAAGUCAUGACAUUUUGUGAUUCACUCGUCUUGUUCAAUAUACCAGCACCAGCCAUCGUGCCCCAUGCCACAGAUAGAGCAGUCAAACCAAGUUUCUUACGACGAAAAUCACACAACGAGUCGAGAAAGCUGUUUGCAGCAGAAUACGCCAGCUGACCAAGAUUCCCGACGACGCCAGCAAUAGACGAAAACAAAAUGAAGAAAUCUAAGUCAUAGUUUAGACUUAACUGAUGAAGAAUUACACUGCCUAAAAGAAAAUUGAGGAAAAUGAUCAAAAAUAUCCUUGAUUGGAGAACAAUGCGAUGGGAAAGAGGUCCUCCUAACUGUAAUAAAUUGACAAUAAAUUACAUCACAUGACACAA